ACAUAAUAUGGUCAUACUAUCAAGGGAUGCAGCCCUCAAUAACACGAAGCCACAUUCAUUUUCUUAAUUAUAAUAACAAAUUUAUCAUAAAUAAAAGAAAUAAAAAGAUUCAAUUCAAAUUUUUAAUUAAAUCAAAACUGAUUCAGAGCAUCUAAAUCCAAAAGUAAAUAUCAACCCAAGUCUCAAUAUUCAUAAUAACUGCAAAUCCAUGAUCAUAAUGGUGAAUGUCCAUAGAGAGACAGUCCCUCGCACACUCCAAAUAUCAUGAAGUAGAGGAUCAGAUGCAUGCAUUUUCACUAGCCCC
rnacentral:lncRNA from 1 species